GGUUUCGUCUCGGGUAGCCUCACGGUUUUCACCCGGUCCGGAAUCCUCCUCGUGGCAAACCAGGGUUCUCUUAACUGGGCGCUCUGGGGAACCACGACGUUUACUUUGAAAAAAUUAGAGUGUUUAAAGCAGGCUUGUGCCUUGAAUACAUUAGCAUGGAAUAAUAAUAUAGGACUGGAUUCCUAUUUUGUUGGUUUUCUGGAGUUUAGUA
rnacentral:rRNA from 1 species